GGGACCCCGUGAUGUCCAGCACUGGGCUCUGAACUUCUGUGAAGACGUGGUGCUCCCCCGGGACCUUUGACACCCCGGGGGUCUGAGGGGCCC
rnacentral:snoRNA from 1 species